GAUAAGACAAUUGUUCUUUGCUUUGUUUUAUUUUAUAUAAGAAGGUGUAACAUUAAAAUAUAUUAAAGUGCACAUUAUAAACACACACCAAACUCAAGUACAUACAGAGGAAGGGGUUCUAGCAGACCAAUCACAGUGCUUGCGGUCCGCGUAGAAUUGACGCGCUGUUAGAUUUUUGGAGAGGUGCACGUCAGGUCACGGCGUUGGCUACGGCGUAGGGUGUGUGUCUAUGCGUAGGCUACGGCGUAGGUCCGACGCAGAAGUAUAAAUCAGCCUUUAGUUUCAUGCAAAGGCUUCUUUGGAUCGUGAUUCUUCCCGCUGCGAGGGUGAUAAACUUUUGCUCGCAUUAUAUCAUUAUGCAGAAAAGACUAGAAGAAAGAAACAAUUAUGUCAGCGGUCUUGGUUGCAUUCUAGUGGAAAAUCCACAAUUAAGGCCAAUAAUCCCACAAUUGGAGCCUCAAAUUCCCAUGCAAGAGGUUAUGAACUCUCGGACUAGAUUAGACCCUUAUAUUUGCGAAGACCUACUUUGUGAAGUUUGACCACGGGUCACCGUGUGUAAACUCCACCGACCUCGAGCUGCAGGGAUGAUGCUUCUGAAUGUGGGAUAUAUAUGCCUCUACACAGCACGUAUCGAUGUGCAUCUGCCACCCAGGGAUAUUUGUUUAAAAAUUCGUCUUUAACUGGAACUUAUAAACUCUGAUUGGAAAUAAUGUUUUAAACAUUUUAGAAGUUUAGCCUUGCAGAUCUAAAUCGAAUUGUUUAUAAUUCUUUUCGAACAUAUUACAUGCAGCAAAAGAUAUAUAGCCUAAUGGCAAAGUAAACAAAAAUUACGGCCAUUACGGAAUGCAAAACUGGGAUGUUAGGAAAACGAACAUUAGAUAAAAGAAAAAUCUUGAAUUCUGCUAAAGUCAAGUCUUCCCGUUGCACUGUAGCCUAGCCUAUACUUAAUGGUGUAAGACAUUAUUUUAUGUGGCUUGUAAAGCCUAUAAUGUGUGUAUUUUACACGUGGCUUGUGUAAGAAAGAACUAUUAAAACUGAUAAAUGCCUUUCAAA
ensembl:lncRNA